rnacentral:rRNA from 1 species
AACGAACGCUGGCGGCAUGCCUAACACAUGCAAGUCGAACGAGACCUUCGGGUCUAGUGGCGCACGGGUGCGUAACGCGUGGGAACCUGCCCUUAGGUUCGGAAUAACUCCCCGAAAGGGGUGCUAAUACCGGAUAAUGUCUUCGGACCAAAGAUUUAUCGCCUUUGGAUGGGCCCGCGUUGGAUUAGCUAGUUGGUAGGGUAAAAGCCUACCAAGGCGACGAUCCAUAGCUGGUCUGAGAGGAUGAUCAGCCACACUGGGACUGAGACACGGCCCAGACUCCUACGGGAGGCAGCAGUGGGGAAUAUUGGACAGUGGGCGAAAGCCUGAUCCAGCAAUGCCGCGUGAGUGAUGAAGGCCUUAGGGUUGUAAAGCUCUUUUAACCGGGAUGAUAAUGACAGUACCGGGAGAAUAAGCCCCGGCUAACUCCGUG